rnacentral:rRNA from 1 species
UGGCGACCGGCGCACGGGUGAGUAACACGUAUCCAACCUACCGAUAACUCCGGAAUAGCCUUUCGAAAGAAAGAUUAAUACCGGAUAGCAUACGAAUAUCGCAUGAUAUUUUUAUUAAAGAAUUUCGGUUAUCGAUGGGGAUGCGUUCCAUUAGUUUGUUGGCGGGGUAACGGCCCACCAAGACUACGAUGGAUAGGGGUUCUGAGAGGAAGGUCCCCCACAUUGGAACUGAGACACGGUCCAAACUCCUACGGGAGGCAGCAGUGAGGAAUAUUGGUCAAUGGGCGAGAGCCUGAACCAGCCAAGUAGCGUGAAGGAUGAAGGCUCUAUGGGUCGUAAACUUCUUUUAUAUGGGAAUAAAGUUUUCCACGUGUGGAAUUUUGUAUGUACCAUAUGAAUAAGGAUCGGCUAACUCCGUGCCAGCAGCCGCGGUAAUACGGAGGAUCCGAGCGUUAUCCGGAUUUAUUGGGUUUAAAGGGAGCGUAGGUGGAUUGUUAAGUCAGUUGUGAAAGUUUGCGGCUCAACCGUAAAAUUGCAGUUGAAACUGGCAGUCUUGAGUACAGUAGAGGUGGGCGGAAUUCGUGAUGUAGCGGUGAAAUGCUUAGAUAUCACGAAGAACUCCGAUUGCGA